UGUCUCAUGAUAUGAGAUAAUACCUGCCCAGUGACAUGUUCAACGGCCGCGGUAUCCUAACCGUGCAAAGGUAGCAUAAUCACUUGCCUAUUAAUUGUAGGCUAGAAUGAAGGGGUUAACGAAAUAAAGACUGUCUCAGUUAGUCACCUAAAAAUUACUCUCUACCUGAAGAAGUGUAGAUACUCGAAGGACAAGAAGACCCUAUAGAGCUUAAUUUUACUUAUAGAUUAUAAAAAGAUUUGGUUGGGGCGACCCUGGGCUAAAUAAUCACCCAUAGUAAAGAUACAUAAAUCAUGACCCUAAAGAUCACAAAAACAAGUUACCUUAGGGAUAACAGGCUAAUCCCACUUAAGAGUCCUUAUCAACAGUGGGGUUUGGCACCUCGAUGUUGGCUUAGGGUAUCUAUAUAGCGCAGAAGUUAUAUAAAGAUGGUUUGUUCAACCAGUAAUUCCCU
rnacentral:rRNA from 1 species